rnacentral:tRNA from 2 species
GCGGAGGUGGCGGAAUGGCAGACGCGCAUGCUUCAGGUGCAUGUAUCCGAACGGGUGUGAGGGUUCAAAUCCCUUUCUCCGCA